AGCUCUUUUAGUUCUUUCACAGAGACUUAUCCUCAUUUUCCGGCAUGGCAGUAUGAUGUGAUGAAUCCUAAUGGAGCGUAUAGUUCUAUGCCUUUGACUAGGCCCGAGCACGUACCAAAUGUUCCUUGGCCCGAUCUGGUUGAUGUGGAUCUUAUGGAAGAAAGCAUGCAGAUGAUUGGAGUCUUGCAAUCAUUGGCUCGCACUCAGUCCUCCCAAUAUGUGCUCAAUGAUUUGAAUUGGCACAUUGAAUGGAAACUGCUGAUGCUGCCAGAAGAACUUUAGAGGAAAGGAUCAGGAGCCUCGAAUUUGAAAAUCGUCAGUACGAUCCCCG